rnacentral:rRNA from 1 species
ACGCGUGGGGAACCGUGCCUUGGAGAGGGGAAUAACACUCCGAAAGGAGUGCUAAUACCGCAUGAUGCAGUUGGGUCGCAUGGCUCUGACUGCCAAAGAUUUAUCGCUCUGAGAUGGCCUCGCGUCUGAUUAGCUAGUAGGCGGGGUAACGGCCCACCUAGGCGACGAUCAGUAGCCGGACUGAGAGGUUGACCGGCCACAUUGGGACUGAGACACGGCCCAGACUCCUACGGGAGGCAGCAUG